UGGGGAAUAUUGGACAAUGGGCGCAAGCCUGAUCCAGCCAUACCGCGUGGGUGAAGAAGGCCUUCGGGUUGUAAAGCCCUUUUGUUGGGAAAGAAAUCCAGCUGGUUAAUACCCGGUUGGGGAUGACGGUACCCAAAGAAUAAGCACCGGCUAACUUCGUGCCAGCAGCCGCGGUAAUACGAAGGGUGCAAGCGUUACUCGGAAUUACUGGGCGUAAAGCGUGCGUAGGUGGUCGUUUAAGUCUGUUGUGAAAGCCCUGGGCUCAACCUGGGAACUGCAGUGGAAACUGGACGACUAGAGUGUGGUAGAGGUAGCGGAAUUCCUGGUGUAGCAGUGAAAUGCGUAGAGAUCAGGAGGAACAUCCAUGGCGAAGGCAGCUACCUGGACCAACACUGACACUGAGGCACGAAAGCGUGGGGAGCAAACAGGAUUAGAUACCCUGGUAGUCCACGCCCUAAACGAUGCGAACUGGAUGUUGGGUGCAAUUUGGCACGCAGUAUCGAAGCUAACGCGUUAAGUUCGCCGCCUGGGGAGUACGGUCGCAAGACUGAAACUCAAAUGAAUUGAC
rnacentral:rRNA from 1 species